CGAGUGCCCCAAGCGUUAUCCGGAAUUAUUGGGCGUAAAGGGUCAGUAGGCGGUUUUGUUAGUCUUCUGUCAAAUUCUUCGGCUUAACCGGGGGUCCGCGGGGGAAACGGCAAAACUUGAGGAUGCGAGAGGUGAAUGGAACUCAUAGUGUAGGGGUGAAAUCCGUUGAUAUUAUGGGGAACACCAAAAGCGAAGGCAAUUCACUGGCGCACUCCUGACGCUGAAUGACGAAAGCGUGGGUAGCGAAUGGGAUUAGAUACCCCAGUAGUCCACGCCCUAAACGAUCUUCUCUAGCUAUUCGGAGUAUCGACCCUCUGAGUGGCGAAGCUAACGCGUUAAGAGAAGCGCCUGGGUAGUACGGCCGCAAGGCUA
rnacentral:rRNA from 1 species